rnacentral:rRNA from 1 species
GACGAACGCUGGCGGCGUGCCUAAUACAUGCAAGUCGAGCGAACAGAUGCGGCGCUUGCUCCUCUCUCGUUAGCGGCGGACGGGUGAGUCACAUGUGGAUAACCCACCUAUCAGACUGGGAUCUCUUCGGGAAAGCGGAGCUAAUACCGGAUAAUAUAUUGCUCCGCAUUGUUGAAUAGUGAAAGACGGUUUUGCUGUCACUUCUCGCUGGAUCCGCGCCGCAUUGGCUAGUUGGUAGGGUAACGGCUUACGAAGGCGACGAUGCGUAGCCGACCUGCGGGGGUGGUAGGCCACAGUGGAGCGGGAACGCGGACCAGACUCCUGCGGGAGGCAGCAGUAGCGAAUGGUCCGCAAUGGGCGGAAGCCUGACGGAGCAGCGGCGCGUGAGUGGUGAAAAUCUUCGGAGCGGAAAACUGUGUUAUUAGUGAAAAACAAAUUUGUAAGGAAAUAUGCACGUCUUGACGGUACCUAGUCAAGAAGCACCGGCUAACUACGUG